rnacentral:rRNA from 1 species
UACGUAGGGGGCAAGCGUUGUCCGGAUUUACUGGGCGUAAAGCGCCUGUAGGCGGAAGUUUAAGCGGUGCCUGAAAGCCCCCGGCUCAACCGGGGGAAGGUGGUGCCGAACUGGGCUUCUUGAGGGCGAUAGAGGAAGGUGGAAUUCCGGGUGUAGCGGUGAAAUGCGUAGAGAUCCGGAGGAACACCAGUGGCGAAAGGCGGCCUUCUGGGUCGA